AAUCUAUUAAAUUAGAGUCCUAUUUGAAAUUUACCAUGGCAUAUUUUUUUUUAGACCUAUUGAAAAUGUUGUGACUUAAUAUAAUUAAAAGACACGCUACUUAACUAUCUUAUAUGAUCACCAAUGUAUUUAGAUUUAUAUUUAAAUUAACAUAUAAUCUAAAAAUAAUAAUUGGAUUCUUCCUAACUUAUUUUCAAACAAUUCCUAAACCCUAAUGUAUUCUUCAUCUUCAAGCCGCCACCUGUGGAAGUUUGAGAUGUCUUUCUGGAAAUAACCUUUUAUAACUUCUAUCCAACAUCUGUGUGGCCUCUUCUUUUGACUGUUCCUGCCAUGAGUAUCGUUUUAUAAUUCUUUUUGUUCUGAGAUUUAAAUGUAGGUACAACUUUACUUUUCCUUAUUGCUCAUCCAUGUAUUGCUUUUUUCUGUAUUGAAACCUCUCUCUAAGCAUUGUCUUUUGUUAGAAUUGGGCUUUGGGUUUGGUGAUAAGUGAAUACUGAAUAGCGUGUUCAGUUUCAAAACAUUAUAGUCUGUGAACUUUUGUUUAACAUAUGUGCUUAUGUAGGUACUGAGUAGUGUGUUAUGUAUCAAUGAUAUGUGUUGAUCGGUGUGGCGUGUUCUGUCUCAGAUUAUACUUGAUGAGGCGAGAAAGUGGGAGAAUAAAAGUGGGAGAAUAAGAUUGUUCAGAUUUUUGUGAAGGUUGGUGGUGAUAAUAAGCAAAAGCUUCUCCUCGGAAACCUCUCUAAGAAUAUUCCUCGAGUUUCUCUUAAUCUCAUGUUCGAGCAAGAAUUUUAGAUCUCCUACGAGUGCUAAACCACCGGUGUCUAUGGAUGGGCAGUUUAACUCUGAGGAUGAGGAAAUUCCCAUGAAUAUGUUUCAAAGUUGCAAGUGUUUAUUGGUGACAAACAAUGAGAUGGGGGACCUUCUCUUUCAGCUACUGGGAACAAGUUUCUUCCCAAGCUCGAAAGAAAAUCAUCAGGUUAGGAUAUCAGUGUCAAGCACCACAAUACUCUAUUAUUAUACAGGUUCCUAUAUGUUCCUAUAUUUUUUGAUAUAAAAAUCAAAAACCACAACCAAACCGAAACCAAAUUGAAAACCAAAAAAAUAGUUUGGAAGCGAAUACAAAAAUGAUGACUGCACUUAAACAUAUUUUUGAACAAAUUAAACAUAUUAAUAAAUUUGUUAACAAAAAUAAUUCCGCGCUUUCAAAGCGCGGGUACUAUCCUAGUAGAACCAUAAAUCAAGACUAUAAAAUGAAACCUAUUGAUUGUACUUGGAUAGUUAACUUGUGAAUGUUUUAAAUCAAGACUAUAAAAUGAAGAAUAAAAUCAUUAUCUGAGAAGUUUUAACAUUUUUCCUUACAAAAUUAUAUUAUGGAAAUCACAAUAGAGACUAAUCUUUUUCAGAAUAUGAGUAUUAAUGUUUUUUACUAAAUGACAAUUUUGUAAUAUUAAGUUUGUAGGACAUGUUAUAAUAACUAGCUAUAACUUUGUUGUCUAAUGUAUACAUCAAAUAGUGGAACAUGUAAGAAAAAGUGAUAUAUACUAUGGAAAUUUUAUAUAUACCAUUUGACUCAGUAGAAUUAAGAAGUGAUAGUUUAUUAAGCAAGUUGGUAUAUAUCAUUUUAUGAAAUUAAAAUCCAACUAGCAUCUGUCAGUCAAUAGGAACUC